rnacentral:rRNA from 1 species
AAGGGCACCACAAGAACGCGUGGAGCAUGUGGCUUAAUUUGACUCAACGCGGGAAAUCUUACCGGGUCCGGACACAUUGAGGAUUGACAGGUGUCAUCAUACGUUUACUUUCACGUGUUCUUACGCGUGGGUAGCGUAUGUGUUCAAUAUGCUAGUCCUUUCAUGAUUAUGUGAUAGGUGGUGCAUGGCCGUUCUUAGUUCGUGGAGUGAUCUGUCUGCUUAAUUGCGUUUCACUACGAAUCUACGUCUCAAAUGUGCGCUUGUGAGACAACUUGACCCCUUUACUGAGGUUCCUACUUUGGUAGAGUCGCGUGUCUCGUUGUCACUAUCACAGCGCGCUAAGUAGAUUCUGAAAGCAACGAACGUGACCGCAACCUCUUGUUGCCUGUACAACUGCAAACAGAGAACAUUCGUGUUUUCUGCAUAACAGGCCACUCUCAAUAAACUAGAGGGACCGCUGCGACUUUCUUAAACCAGAGGAAGGGUGUGGCAAUAACAGGUCUGUGAUGCCCUCAGAUGUUCCGGGCUGCACACGUGCUACAAUGAUUAUUGCAGUGAGCAUCUCAUACUAUACAUCGCAGCGUAAGCGUUUUAGCCUCUUUAACGAACUAUUACGACUUUAUUGCGCGAUGAAGCCUGCUUCGACAGUAAGCGGGUAAUCAAUUAGAAGUAAUGACUUCCUUCUAUUAUGCACAACUAUGUUCGGCACUGCUUCCCAGUCUGACUGUUUGUCAGCUGAGUGUUUAGUGGUGAACUCGCUUAAGAGUUUCUAACCGUUCGUGCAGCUGUCAAUUCAUGGUAGGGACAGACCAUUGUUAAUUGUUGGUCUCGGUCUCAACUAGGAAUGCCUUGUACGGGUCUUUGGUUCAAUAAACCACCCGGAAUACGUCCCUGCCCUUUGUACACACCGCCCGUC